UNGACAGGGAAGCCAGGGUGUUUGCUGC
rnacentral:piRNA from 1 species